GCUUACUCCAACACACUCCGGUAAUCCACACUUAACCUUCGUAAGGACUAAAGAAGCUUUUCUUCUUCAUAAUUGUUUCCAGAAUUACAGAGUAUACAUGAACAUGAUCAGGUCUAUAUCUGUUAAUGUUGGAGAAGCUUUUCUUCGUCCUUGUUUUCAUGGCGCCACUUUAAUCAAGCUUUGUCCUCUUCAUUUUCAUGGCAGAUCCUCAAGUAAGCUUCUCCAUUUCUCUACUACUUUUCCCUUUUUCGAUUUCACUCUUCCCCUUUUGCCCUCUUUUCACCUUUCUUUACUGUUUCCUUCCCGAAAUUACACCAAUUACGCUACUCAAGAUUUUGAUUCUGAUUUUGAUGACCCCAAAUUAUUUCUGAAAUUUGUUAGACAACAAUCCAAAUUAGGGUUUACUAAUGUUGAAAUCCCCCUUUCCCUCUUUCACCGUAUGAAAUCGAUGCGCCCAAUUCCUGGUAUGAUUGAUUUCAAUAUGCUUUUUUCAGCCAUGUGUAAGAUUAAACCCCACCCCCCAUUCUCCACUGUCAUUUCUCUCUACAGGCACCUCCUUGGAUUUCGUUCUCUCACUAUCAGUUGAAAAAGUAGAAGCUAUUUUAUCCAAUUAUUUUUAUAGAUAGAUUUCCUUUCAUUUAAUGAAAUGAAAAAAGCAGUCUUCUUUACAUAAGACGAAGGAAGACAAAAUUGGAAUUCUAAUCAGUCAUUUUUGAUGUUUGUGAGAACCAUUUAAAUCAUGAUUUAAAUGGUUCUCACCUGUUUCUAAGAAACUUGCUUAUGACUUGUACUAUAAUCUGUAUUCAUAAGGCCCUUUCUUCCAUUUAAUUAAGCGUUAAUGUAAAUGAGCCAUAACUAUGUAGCCCUAUUCCUAAUAGAUUAACCCCAAAAUAGCAUAUCCAAAUUAUAAGAAAGCCUAUAAAAGCCACAAUUGCAGAAUUUGCACCUCGAAAAUUUUUAUUUGUUCGAAUAUGUAAAUAAAUUGCAAAUAUGGUCCAAGUAAUAAAUGCCCAAGUUUCCUUUGGGUCCCAAUUCCAAUAUGAUCCCCAUGCCUCAUUGGCCCAUACUGCUCCUGAAAGAAUACCUAUGGUUAAAAAGAUAAAUCCUAGACUAAUAACACGAUAACUCCAAUGAUCCUUUUGUCUGCUCUCCGUCCUGAUAUUUAUUCUCUUAACAUUCUCGCUAAUUGCUACUGUCUUUUGGACUUUGUUGAUUUGGGGUUUUCUGUUCUCGCCAACAUUAUUAAGCUUGGUUUUCAGCCUGAUAUUGUCACCUUUACUACUCUCAUCAAUGGCUUCAUUCACUCUAAUCAAUUUCAGAAAGCCGUUCCAUUGUUGGAUAAAAUUGUCAAGCUUGGCUUCCAACCUGAUAUGGUCACCUAUGGUUCUAUGUUCAAAGGUCUCUGUAGGUCUGGUGAUAAUGCCGGUGCUCUCAAACUCCUCAGACAUAUGGAGUCUUAUGGCCAUUGUAUGCCUAAUGUUGUCAUUUAUAACACCAUCAUUGAUAGUCUCUGUAAAGACCAAUUAUUACCUCAGUCUCUCCUCCUUUUCAAGGAGAUGAAAGUCAAGGGAAUAUCCCCUAAUGUUGUCACCUAUAAUACCUUAAUUCGAGGUAUGUUAACUUUGGGACAACAGAAAGAGGCUCAAGGAAUGGUGACUGAGAUGUUGAGGAACAACAUAACUCCUGAUGUUGACACCUACAACACAUUGAUUGACAUGUAUUGUAAAGAAGGCAAGGUUGGUGAAGCACGGGACAUUUUUGUUCACAUGACUGAGAGAGGAUUUGUUCCCGAUAUCAUCACUUACAAUACUUUGUUAGACGGAUAUUGUUUACAUGGUGAGAUGAAUGAGGCAGAAAAGCUCAUGGAUUUGAUGGUAGAAGAUGGUUGCAAACAUGAUGUUUUUACUUUCAGCAUCUUAAUCAAUGGCUAUUGUAAGGGAGGAAUGGUUAUUGAAGCACGGGCCAUAUUUGAAUCCAUGAUAAGUCAAGGUCAGAUUCCCAAUAUCAUCACUUACAAUGCUCUGUUAGAUGGAUAUUGUUUACGUGGUGAGAUGGAUGAGGCAGAAAAGCUUAUAAAUUUGAUGGUUGAAAAUGGUUGCAAACCUGAUGUAGUUACUUACAACAGCUUAAUCAAUGGCUAUUGCAAGGCUAAAAAGAUUGACAAAGCUCUUGGUUUGGUCCAAGAGAUGCAUUUUAACGGAUUAAGCCCUGAUGUUAUCAUGUACAGCACUCUUAUAGAUGCCUUGUGCAAAGACAAUCAACUCAAGCUUGCACACCAGUUUUUCGAGGAUAUGGAAGCUCAUGGACUGAAACCAGAUAUAAUAACUUGGAAUUCAUUCCUUGACGGCAUGUGUAGGAAUGCACAAAUAGAUAAGGCAGUUGCAACAGUGAAGGAAAUGGAGACUACUGGAAUGGUCCAUGAUAUUUUUACAUACAAUAUCCUAAUGGAUGGUUUUUGUGAAGCUAAUCGCCUUAGAGAAGCGGUGGAUAUUUUCUCCUUUCUCACAACUAAAGGGCUGCAUGAUGUGUGUGCUUACAACAUAAUGAUAAAAGGGUAUUGUAAAGAAGGGUUGCUAGCAAAAGCCGAUGAAUUAUUGAAGAAUAUGGAGGACAAUGGAUGCCUUCCAAAUGAAGGCACCUUCAAUACAAUUAUUAGAGGGUUUCUUGAUGGCAAGGAUGUUAGGAGAGCUUUAGAACUUGUCAGCUUAAUGAGAAUCAAACGGGAUGAGAAGGGGAAAACUGUGAAGUGAGGGCGCUGGAGCCUAUUACAUGGUGUUGUUUCAAGCUGGUUAGAAGGAGGCUUGGAUGAAACAAAAACUGUUGGGUUUCUCAGCAGGCAAAAGCAAAAUCAAAAUCAAAACCUAAGGGGUUAAAGAACGCGAGGAGAGAUCCCCUUAAUUAUGAUUUUUUUUUUUUUGGAUUCCUCUCAUCCACAAAAACAGGGAUUCGAAGCUGGUCUGGUAUCUUUCACCUUUGCGUUUGGAGGUGGAGAGUUUCGGUGGAAGCAACAUGAUUGAGUGGUUCAACAAUUUGCGAGGGAAGUAUAAGGAUCCGCUUUGGUGGGACAUUUUCUGGAGUAUCUUAUGGGGUAUGUGGCUGCGUAGAAAUUGGUGGGUGUUUGAUGGCAAACGGAAGGAAAUUGAUGAUCUUAUUCAUAAAGCCAUUAGCAUCGUGGGGGAUUACGAUCCAGGGAAAUUAUUUGCAGCAGUACAAAGGAACUGAGGCUACCUACGCCUUGAAUUGCUCCUUGUUAAGGAGUGUACAAAGUAAACUCUGAUGCGGCCAUAUUCAAGAGACAAUCAGGUGGGAUUAGGAGGUGUUACAAGGGACCUCCAGGUGGGAUAAUCUUGAUUUUGAAAUUGUGGAAGGCAUGGCAAUGAGGCAUGCUUUGAAGAUCACUAUGGAAGCUGGUUUUGCGAGAAUUUGCUUGGAGAUUAGUAACAGCAAAGUGCAUCAGUAUUUGGCUGAGAAAAACGCUACUUCCAACGGUUUUUGGGAGCAUUAUUCAAGACAUUUUGCAGCUUGCUAACGAGUGCCUUUUUUGUUCUUUUUCUUUUGUAAAGAGGGAAGGAGGUAAACCUGGGCAUCGUGCCGGGCCGUGCCUGGCGGGCCACGGGCUCCGGCGUGCCGUGCCGGUCGUGCCGCCGUGCCCGGGAAGUCGUGCCGUGCUGUGCCGGCCAUUCUCACAGGCCAGCCCAUGGCCUGGCACGGCCCUUGUGCCUGGCGGGCUCGCGCCGUGCCGG